CGAAGCAACGCGAAGAACCUUACCAAAUCUUGACAUCCUUUGACAACUCUAGAGAUAGAGCCUUCCCCUUCGGGGGACAAAGUGACAGGUGGUGCAUGGUUGUCGUCAGCUCGUGUCGUGAGAUGUUGGGUUAAGUCCCGCAACGAGCGCAACCCUUAAGCUUAGUUGCCAUCAUUAAGUUGGGCACUCUAAGUUGACUGCCGGUGACAAACCGGAGGAAGGUGGGGAUGACGUCAAAUCAUCAUGCCCCUUAUGAUUUGGGCUACACACGUGCUACAAUGGACAAUACAAAGGGCAGCGAAACCGCGAGGUCAAGCAAAUCCCAUAAAGUUGUUCUCAGUUCGGAUUGUAGUCUGCAACUCGACUACAUGAAGCUGGAAUCGCUAGUAAUCGUAGAUCAGCAUGCUACGGUGAAUACGUUCCCGGGUCUUGUACACACCGCCCGUCACACCACGAGAGUUUGUAACACCCGAAGCCGGUGGAGUAACCUUUUAGGAGCUAGCCGUCGAAGGUGGGACAAAUGAUUGGGGUGAAGUCGUAACAAGGUAGCCGUAUCGGAAGGUGCGGCUGGAUCACCUCCUUU
rnacentral:rRNA from 1 species